rnacentral:misc_RNA from 1 species
GAUCAUUAGCGCGCAGGCCGGAGGCUGGCCCCCCACGAUAGGGCCAAACGUCCGUCAGGGGUGAGCAGAUGUGCGCCGGCCGUACCGCCCCAUUCUUGUCUACAUUACUCGGUUGCCUCGGCGGGCCGCGCUCUCCCAGGAGAGCCGUUCGGCGAGCCUCUCUUUAGUGGCUAAACGCUGGACCGCGCCCGCCGGAGGACAGACGCAAAAAAAUUCUUUCAGAAGAGCUGUCAGUCUGAGCGUUAGCAAGCAAAAAUCAGUUAAAACUUUCAACAACGGAUCUCUUGGUUCCGGCAUCGAUGAAGAACGCAGCGAAAUGCGAUAAGUAAUGUGAAUUGCAGAAUUCCGUGAAUCAUCGAAUCUUUGAACGCACAUUGCGCCCCCUGGCAUUCCGGGGGGCAUGCCUGUUCGAGCGUCAUUUCAGCCCCUCAAGCCCGGCUUGUGUGAUGGACGACCGUCCGGCGCCCCCGUCUUUGGGGGUGCGGGACGCGCCCGAAAAGCAGUGGCCAGGCCGCGAUUCCGGCUUCCUAGGCGAAUGGGCAACAAACCAGCGCCUCCAGGACCGGCCGCCCUGGCCUCAAAAUCUGUUUUAUACUUAUCAGGUUGACCUCGGAUCAG